rnacentral:rRNA from 1 species
CUAAGGUAGCAUAAUCAUUUGUUAUUUAAUUGGUAACUGGAAUGAAAGGUUAAACUAGCUUAUUAAGUUUGUGGGGCUAAAUAGGAGCUUAAAGUUAAGGUAAGAAUGCUUUAAUUUUUUAGGGGACGAUAAGACCCUAGAAGCUUAACGAGUAGGUUGUUUUGUUUUAUAAAUUUGUUCGUUUUACUGGGGCGGUAAAAAUAAUUAAGCUAUUUGUUAUUUAAAGGAUCCUUAAAAUAAAGAAAAAAUGGAGAAGUUACUCUAGGGAUAA